AUUGAACGCUGGCGGCAGGCCUAACACAUGCAAGUCGAACGAGUGGCGGACGGGUGAGUAAUGUCUGGGAAACUGCCCGAUGGAGGGGGAUAACUACUGGAAACGGUAGCUAAUACCGCAUACCAUCGGAUGUGCCCAGAUGGGAUUAGCUCGUAGGUGGGGUAAUGGCUCACCUAGGCGACGAUCCCUAGCUGGUCUGAGAGGCUGACCAGACACACGGGAACAUGGACACGGUCCAGACUCCUACGGUAGGCAGCAGUGGGGAAUAUUGCACAAUAGGCGCAAGCCUGAGGCAGCCAUGCCGCGUGUAUGAAGAAGGCCUUCGGGUUGUAAAGUACUUUCAGCGAGGAGGCGUUACUCGCAGAAGAAGCACCGGCUAACUCCGUGCCAGCAGCCGCGGUAAUAC
rnacentral:rRNA from 1 species